rnacentral:rRNA from 1 species
GAUGAACGCUGGCGGCGUGCCUAACACAUGCAAGUCGAACGGAGUUACAGUGAAACCUAGUGAUCUGUAACUUAGUGGCGGACGGGUGAGUAACGCGUGGAUAACCUGCCUUGUACAGGGGGAUAACACCUGGAAACAGGUGCUAAGACCGCAUAAGCGCACAGUCUCGCAUGGGACAGUGUGAAAAACUCCGGUGGUACAAGAUGGAUCCGCGUCUGAUUAGCCAGUUGGCGGGGUAACGGCCCACCAAAGCGACGAUCAGUAGCCGGCCUGAGAGGGUGAACGGCCACAUUGGGACUGAGACACGGCCCAA